AAAUCUUUCUGGGGCCUCCAAAUGUUAUACCCAAAGCAAGUGGAAGAGAGAAACUCCAGCACACUGAGUCCAAAUUAAGCAAGGGCCCUU
rnacentral:miRNA from 1 species